UACGAAGGGAGCUAGCGUUGUUCGGAAUCACUGGGCGUAAAGCGCACGUAGGCGGAUUUGUCAGUCAGGGGUGAAAUCCUGGAGCUCAACUCCAGAACUGCCUUUGAUACUGGCGAUCUUGAGUCCGGGAGAGGUGAGUGGAACUGCGAGUGUAGAGGUGAAAUUCGUAGAUAUUCGCAAGAACACCAGUGGCGAAGGCGGCUCACUGGCCCGGUACUGACGCUGAGGUGCGAAAGCGUGGGGAGCAAACAGG
rnacentral:rRNA from 1 species